rnacentral:ncRNA from 1 species
UUUCGGGGCAAGGUGGGAUUCCUUGACCGGCGGUGAAAGCCCGCGAGCGCUUUUUUUGGCGCUGAUCCUGUGAGAUUCAGGAGCCGACGGUAUAGUCCGGAUGGGAGGAAAC